ACCAGACUCCUACGGGAGGCAGCAGUGGGGAAUAUUGCACAAUGGGGGAAACCCUGAUGCAGCGACGCCGCGUGGGUGAAGGAGCACCUCGGUGCGUAAAGCCCUCUCGGCAGGGAAGAAACAGACGGUACCUGACUAAGAAGCCCCGGCUAACUACGUGCCGGCAGCCGCGGUAAUACGUAGGGGGCAAGCGUUAUCCGGAUUUACUGGGUGUAAAGGGAGCGUAGACGGCGAUGCAAGUCUGAAGUGAAAGGCGGGGGCCCAACCCCCGGACUGCUUUGGAAACUGUAUAGCUGGAGUGCAGGAGAGGUAAGUGGAAUUCCUAGUGUAGCGGUGAAAUGCGUAGAUAUUAGGAGGAACACCAGUGGCGAAGGCGGCUUACUGGACUGUAACUGACGUUGAGGCUCGAAAGCGUGGGGAGCAAACAGGAUUAGAUACCCCCGUA
rnacentral:rRNA from 1 species